rnacentral:rRNA from 1 species
UGGUGAGUAACGCGUGGGUAAUCUACCUUUGGCAUGGGGAUAGCCACUAGAAAUAGUGGGUAAUACCGAAUACGUUCCCUGGGGGGAGGUUUCAGGGAAGAAAGGGUGCUACGGCACCGGCCAAAGAUGAGCUCGCGUCCCAUUAGCUAGUUGGUGAGGUAAUGGCCCACCAAGGCGAUGAUGGGUAGCCGGCCUGAGAGGGUGUACGGCCACACUGGGACUGAGAUACGGCCCAGACUCCUACGGGAGGCAGCAGCUAAGAAUAUUCCGCAAUGGACGAAAGUCUGACGGAGCGACGCCGCGUGGAUGAUGAAGGCCGAAAGGUUGUAAAGUCCUUUUGCUGGGGAAGAAUAAGUGUGGGAGGGAAUGCCCGCAUGAUGACAUGAACCGGCGAAUAAGCCCCGGCCAACUACGUGCCAGCAGCCGCGGUAACACGUAGGGGGCGAGCGUUGUUCGGAAUUACUGGGCGUAAAGGGCAUGUAGGCGGUCUGGUAAGCCUGGCGUGAAAGGCCACAGCUCAACUGUGGGAUUGCGUUGGGAACUGCUGGGCUUGAGUUAUGGAGAGGGAGCUAGAAUUCCUGGUGUAGGGGUGAAAUCUGUAGAUAUCAGGAAGAAUACCGAUGGCGAAGGCAAGCUCCUGGCCGAUGACUGACGCUGAUGCGCGAAAGUGUGGGGAUCAAACAGGAUUAGAUACCCUGGUAGUCCACACUGUAAACGAUGUGCACUAGGUGCUGGGGCGGUAGCUUCAGUGCCGGAGCGAACGUGGUAAGUGCACCGCCUGGGGGAGUAUGCUCGCAAGGUGCUGGGGCGGUAGCUUCAGUGCCGGAGCGAACGUGGUAAGUGCACCGCCUGGGGAGUAUGCUCGCAAGGGUGAAACUCAAAGGAAUUGACGGGGGCCCGCACGAGCGGUGGAGCAUGUGGUUUAAUUCGAUGGUACGCGAGGAACCUUACCUGGGUUUGACAUACAGGGGGAUGUGGCAGCGAUGUCACAGACUGGAAACAGUACCCUGUACAGGUGCUGCAUGGCUGUCGUCAGCUCGUGCCGUGAGGUGUUGGGUUAAGUCCCGCAACGAGCGCAACCCCUACUGCCAGUUACUAACAGGUAACGCUGAGGACUCUGGCGGAACUGCCGGUGACAAACCGGAGGAAGGUGGGGAUGACGUCAAGUCAUCAUGGCCCCUAUGUCCAGGGCUACACACGUGCUACAAUGGGCGAUACAGAGUGACGCGAAGCCGCGAGGUGGAGCAAAUCGCAGAAAAUCGCUCUCAGUUCGGAUUGGAGUCUGAAACCCGACUCCAUGAAGGUGGAAUCGCUAGUAAUCGCGCAUCAGCAUGGCGCGGUGAAUACGUUCCCGGGCCUUGUACACACCGCCCGUCACACCAUCCGAGUGGGGGGUACCCGAAGCCGUUAGACCAACCUGCAAAGGGGGUCGACGUCGAAGGUACGUCUUGAGAGGAGGGUG